AUGCAGGUCGAACGAAGUAGCAAUACUUAGUGGCAGACGGGUGAGUAACAUGUAGGUAUCUGCCCUUUGGCCUGGAAUAACACGAGGAAACUUGUGCUAAUACCGGAUAAGUCUUUACAGAGAAAGCUUUAUGCACCAUUGGAUGAGCCUGCACUUGAUUAGUUUGUUGGUAGGGUAACGGCCUACCAAGACUUUGAUCAAUAGCUGAUUUGAGAGGAUGAUCAGCCACAUUGGGACUGAGACACGGCCCAAACUCCUACGGGAGGCAGCAGUGGGGAAUCUUGCACAAUGGAGGAAACUCUGAUGCAGCGAUGCCGCGUGAGUGAAGAAGGCCCUUGGGUUGUAAAGCUCUUUCGUCGGGGAAGAAAAUGACUGUACCCGAAUAAGAAGGUCCGGCUAACUUCGUGCCAGCAGCCGCGGUAAUACGAAGGGACCUAGCGUAGUUCGGAAUUACUGGGCUUAAAGAGUUCGUAGGUGGUUGAAAAAGUUGGUGGUGAAAUCCCAGAGCUUAACUCUGGAACUGCCAUCAAAACUUUUCAGCUAGAGUAUGAUAGAGGAAAGCAGAAUUUCUAGUGUAGAGGUGAAAUUCGUAGAUAUUAGAAAGAAUACCAAUUGCGAAGGCAGCUUUCUGGAUCAUUACUGACACUGAGGAACGAAAGCAUGGGUAGCGAAGAGGAUUAGAUACCCUCGUAGUCCAUGCCGUAAACGAUGUGUGUUAGACGUUGGAAAUUUAUUUUCAGUGUCGCAGCGAAAGCGAUAAACACACCGCCUGGGGAGUACGACCGCAAGGUUAAAACUCAAAUGAAUUGACGGGGACCCGCACAAGUAGUGGAGCAUGUGGUUUAAUUCGAAGAUACGCGCAGAACCUUACCAACACUUGACAUGUUCGUCGCGACUUUAAGAGAUUAAG
rnacentral:rRNA from 1 species